GAUGAACGCUGGCGGCGUGCCUAAUACAUGCAAGUCGAGCGAACGGACGAGAAGCUUGCUUUUCUGAUGUUAGCGGCGGACGGGUGAGUAACACGUGGAUAACCUACCUAUAAGACUGGGAUAACUUCGGGAAACCGGAGCUAAUACCGGAUAAUAUUUUGAACCGCAUGGUUCAUAAGUGAAAGACGGUCUUGCUGUCACUUAUAGAUGGAUCCGCGCUGCAUUAGCUAGUUGGUAAGGUAACGGCUUACCAAGGCAACGAUGCAUAGCCGACCUGAGAGGGUGAUCGGCCACACUGGAACUGAGACACGGUCCAGACUCCUACGGGAGGCAGCAGUAGGGAAUCUUCCGCAAUGGGCGAAAGCCUGACGGAGCAACGCCGCGUGAGUGAUGAAGGUCUUCGGACCGUAAAACUCUGUUAUUAGGGAAGAACAUAUGUGUAAGUAACUGUGCACAUCUUGACGGUACCUAAUCAGAAAGCCACGGCUAACUACGUG
rnacentral:rRNA from 1 species